CCAGCGGAUCGACUCCUGGCAACAGCAAACUGCACUGUGACGCUCUGCUGACAUCUACAGGUAACACUCGGUAAUUACAUGAAAAUCCUAACAUUUAUCCUCCAUUUUUCCCCACAGAAAAACAUCAAAUCUCUGCACGCCUGCACUGCUGUACCUGGAACACGGCCCGGUGGUCCUCCAGCACCUGCUCCUCCAUCUCCACCAGCUGAGACACGACUUCAUGGAAGAGCAGCUUGAGGUCGUCUCUCUGCGGGGAGCUGCCGACCCCCCACUGGGCCUCCAGGACCUCCAGCUGGGUGAUGCGCCCCUCCUGGUGGCAGUCCAGAGCUGCUGCAGGGUCCACCGUCAGCUGCUUCAUCCUGACAACACAUCACAGCUUACAGAGGCGUCAGGAGGAAGAGGGGGGGCUUCAAGGCACAGGUUAGGAGGCGAGGUCUUGAAAUAAAUCAGUUAAAUUCCUUUAGUAAACGAUGCACAAAACAACAUAAUGCAAGUUUAAAACAGAUUUAAACAAUAUGUUUUUCUUUUCAUUCUUUUGGAUUAAGAGCCCCAAAAGAAGCGUCUCAGUAACUGUAACUGAUCUGCAACGAUUUGAUAGCUAAACAGAAAAUCGUGCCGCACUUUUCAGAUUUAGCUCCGUGAUCCAUUUCCAGCCGGCUCUAUCGCCGCCGUGUUUCACUGUCAGGAUCUUGUCGUUACUUUAGUGUUAGUGAAAGCGUCUUCUUUCACAAGAAAAUGUCUC